GCAUCGGUGGUUUAGUGGUAAAAUUAGCCGUUGCCAUCACUUCCUGACCAAUUCGGCUAGCCCCGGGUUCGAUUCCCGGCCGAUGCA
rnacentral:tRNA from 1 species